AUGAUACCUUCCUCCGUUCGACCAUCCCUCCCCACCGAACAACACCACCGUGAACCAUCCGAGAAACCCUCAUCCUGCCCUCUUCUCUUAUCAGUACCUCAAAGAAUAUCAGACAUUUGCAAUACUGCUCGCUACUGGACAAAAAGUUUUGCCAAGACAUCAUCUCAUAAGCGCAACUUGCAAUCUCGGAAUCUCCGUGAAGUAGCACAGCCGCGGACACACCGUUCGUCAGACCUUCCUCCGUGUGAACAUAGUUAUGGAUCGUAG